UACAGAGGGUGCGAGCGUUGUUCGGAAUUAUUGGGCGUAAAGGGCGCGUAGGCGGUGCCACAAGUCACUUGUGAAAUCUCCGGGCUUAACUCGGAGCCUGCAGGCGAAACUGUGGUGCUGGAGUGUGGGAGAGGUGCGUGGAAUUCCCGGUGUAGUGGUGGAAUGCGUAGAUAUCGGGAGGAACGCCAGUGGCGAAGGCGGUUGCCUGGAGCUUUGCUGACGCUGAUGCGCGAAAGCGUGGGGAGCGAUCCGG
rnacentral:rRNA from 1 species